rnacentral:rRNA from 1 species
UACGGAGGGUGCGAGCGUUAAUCGGAAUCACUGGGCGUAAAGCGCGCGUAGGCGGCUUUUCAAGUCAGGGGUGAAAUCCCACGGCCCAACCGUGGAACUGCCUUUGAAACUGUAGAGCUUGAGUGUCGGAGAGGGUGGCGGAAUUCCAGGUGUAGGAGUGGAAUCCGUAGAUAUCUGGAGGAACACCGGUGGCGAAGGCGGCCACCUGGACGACAACUGACGCUGAGGUGCGAAAGCGUGGGUAGCAAACAGG